UACGUAGGGGGCAAGCGUUGUCCGGAUUUAUUGGGCGUAAAGAGCGUGUAGGCGGCUUGACAGGUCUGCUGUGAAAACUCGAGGCUCAACCUCGAGAUGUCGGCGGAAACCGUCUGGCUAGAGUCCGGAAGAGGAGAGUGGAAUUCCUGGUGUAGCGGUGAAAUGCGCAGAUAUCAGGAAGAACACCUAUGGCGAAGGCAGCUCGCUGGGACGUUACUGACACUGAGGCGCGAAAGCGUGGGGAGCGAACAGG
rnacentral:rRNA from 1 species